GAAGCAGAGGAGAAACAAAAACAGCAGAAGCUACGACGAGUUCUACUACAAGAUCUCAGCGCAAGACUAGCAGUGCGUCAUCAUAAGCCAAUCAUAGCCCAGGAGGCAAAGCAACACUUGAAAGCACUGUCACUGAAAAUUCUACAAGAAUUUCAAAGGAAAAUGCUUGCAGAGUGUGAAGACCGAUACAAGGAGAUAAGGAUCAGAAAUCAGAGAAAGAUUGGGAAACCAUUUCCUGCUAUAAAUUUUACAGACUCCCAAGCAAGUGUUCAAAAGUGGAGAGAUCAAAAUGUGAAACAGGAAAGUGUAAUCCAAAACUGCAAGUGAUAAUUUGAUUGAUGCCAUUCCAGCACAUUGUAAAUUAAAUGUUUGUAUGAUUAAAUGUUUUUGGCA